AUAUGAGCAUUUUUAAUUGUUGCUAUUUCACAUACCCAUAUCUUGCUUGAAAAUGCAAAUUUCGAAAAAUCGGCAACGCAUCAACACAGAUAAACACGCCAUUCGAUGUCAACGUCACCGGCAACUGUUUCCCGUGCAAGAACACCAAACUGUAGCAGGGGAUAUUCGGUGUGUUUCGGAAGACCUACUCUCACGUCGAGUUUACCUUAGGGGAUAACCCACCCAUUAGGGUCCUGGUUAGCAUCCCGACGGGACUUCGCUCCUCCAAACCGUCUUCUGAUACCUCGGAGGACGAUCUCGACGUGGAAGAGGUCGUCGGGUACGAUCACCGGAAGCACUUCUUCGACAUAGUUCUGGGCCCAGCUAUCCACAAGUUGGUCGCAGGCUGUCGUAGUAGGCGGAAGGGGGCCAGGAACCCGUUUAUUAGUAAGUGGCUAAUAUCCACCCCGCUGACUGACCGAAGUUGGCAUUCGAGGUGGAUCGGUUGACCACCGAAGACCGAACGUUUGGUUGUUAUUUGUUUAACGUGGCGCUCCAUGGGCUGCAGUUGCCACAGGAUGCUGCCCUCACUCUAAUUGGCCAGUACCUAGACCCUUACCACGCUUCAGUGGUAAUUGUUCAAUGCCAUUUUGGCGUUGAAUUUGCAAUGAAGUCGUCGGUGAGGGUGGUGUUGGUGAGCCGUGAGGCAGCCCGGCGGUCGCUCAGUGGGGUCAGGUUUUACCCUGGUAUGGGGGUGUACGACCACCGGUAUUGUACCGCCGAUGGAGUUCGGCAACCCUUUCAACACCUUCUCCCCAUGUGCCGGUACGUGCAAGCGUACAACCCCGCCGUACACAUCCUUCGCCGCGGCCUCAGUGAUACGUCCGUUUUUACGUGGCUGAUGUUAGGCGGUGACAAGUGUCGGCCUAUCGGCAAUUGUACCGCCCAAAUAAUCACCGCGUUCAUGGAGUUCCUGCAGGUCGCGGUGCGGGGCUCAGGCGUCCGUUUCGAGUGUGCGGUCAGUGGAGACAA